rnacentral:lncRNA from 1 species
CAUAGAGCCUUUUCUUUUUCUCAGGUCUCAUUUACUUCCUCUUUUUUUUUUCCUUUUCCUUUUCCUAUACCUUCCUUUGGUCCUUAUAAGUAUCCAAAUUGCCCUAAAAUAACUUCUGCACAUGCAGCAUUAGGAAGCAGUGUUUCCCAACCACUACAUUUGAAUGAUUCAUUCCUCUGAGGACCCUCAAGUACUUCAGAAGAACUAAAAAAUGAAUAUCACGUUACACCAAAGAAGAAAUGAAAGCUGCCAGUGUCUUCUGAAGUUAAACAGGCUCCUGUUCUUUGACCCAGCAAUCCAAUCCUAGGACUCCAACUAAGCCACUAUGCUGGGAGCAGAGAUGGGGAAGAAUUGCUGAGUCAUGAUAAGAGAAGGCACUAUAGGAAGAAACAGUGAACUCUUAACAGCUGGGCAAGCAAUGAGUCAGCCUGGGUGGUCACUCCAGAUGCUCCCGGACACAUCCCAAUUUCUAGGAUGCCUUGCUGAUAUGUACUUCUCAAGGAAAAAAAAUGGUCACUAUAUAUAUUAAACUGACAGAGGAAAAGUGGAAAUAACAUAUGUCUUAGAUCUCCAUUUUGGCGAAGACAGGCUUCAGCUGUAAAGAAUCGAAGAAUAAAAUGAGACCAACAAAGUGAAAUCAUUUCUGAACCCAGUAACUAUUACUGCAGCACUGAUCUGCUGAACCGGCAGAGGAGUCCAAAAGAAAAAUCUACUCAUCCCAAAUGAGCAUUUACUCUCAAUAUGAUGUGUUUCACUAGCUCCUUUCCUCUAAAGCACUUUUUUUCCCUUGCAUUGUUUUUUUUUCUAAUUAUAUGUGUGGCUUUAGACAAAUUAUUCCAAUUCUC